CUGUUUGGUGUCUGCCCAGCAAGGCCCAGCUCGUCCGUCAUUCCCGGCCGUGUCACCGUGUGGUGACAUGGAAAUGGCUCCAGCGGAGGCUCCAGCGUUUAAAGGUGCCUGCCUGCCGGGAUGGCUGCGGGAGCACGGAUGGGCCGAGUCCUGCUGGGCCCUGCUGCUCCUGCCGGGCACGGCGAGGAACCGAGGCAGGCGUGGCCAUGGACCAGCUCCCUGCCUCUCGGUGGAAGGCUCUGGGAGCGAGCAGGAUGUCAGUCUGGGCUCCUCUGAGCACAGGUAACGCUUGGAAGGCAAAGGCAGCAGCUUGCAGGGGGCAGAUGGACCGGAGACAGAGCGGAGCCAAAGCGCCUGAAGGCCGUGGAUGUGUGCAGCUUCCCGGGGCUCCGCUUGGCUUCCUCGGGCUGCAUCCCAGCGGGAGGAGCCGCAGAGCCCGGCCACGAGGGAUCGGGGCUGGGCACCCAAAAUCAGGUGGCUCCAUCCUGUAUAGACAUCGCCGUCCUGAGUGAGGCCAUUGUCAGCAUGUCCCUGGGAGGGAAAUGGGACCAAGGGCACGGGGGAUCCCUGGGUGCCCAAAGCUCUGGAAUUCUGGGUUCGUGUCCGUGCACCAGAUCUCCUCAGGACACAGGGCUUUAGAGAAGGAUGUGGCCCUGCAAUGCAAUCCCUGAUCCUGCUUUAAUUCUCCCUGUGCUUUGAGGGUUUAUUCUCCCCUCUCCAUUAAUCUCUGAAUAUUAGGUGGAAAGCGAACAAUUACCGUGCUAAUGGCUCCAUAAAUUCCUUCAUUACUUAUUAAACUCGAGCCCUCCCCACGCAGCGGAGGAAAAGAGACGAAAUGGAGAAGAAAAGGGAGCGGAGGGGGGUGAGGAGCCAGGGCAGAGGGUCUCGGGCUGGGCUGCGGCGGCGGGGCCGGCUCAGAUGCGGUAAUUCACGGGCUGUCGUUGCCCUCUGCCGGCAACGGGACGGGCAGGUGCUGCCUGCCCUGCUCUUCCCUGCCAGAUCUGCUCUCCCUGCCCUGCUCUUCCCUGCCAGAUCUGCUCUCCCUGCCCUGCUCUCCCUGCCCUGCUCUUCCUGCCCUGCUCUCCCUGCUCUGCGUACAGAGCCCCGACAUCCCUGGGCUACAAGGCUGGGGAGCCGCGGGGUGUCGGGGGCGGCUGCUGCUGAGGAUGCUCCGCAGAAGUCGCUGCUUGGGGACCCAAAGCCCUCGGGGACGAUGCUGAGCAGAGCUCACGGCAACACGAGCUUGGCUUUAGCAGCGGCUUAACCCGGCAGCGGCACGGGCAAGGGUGCCGCCUCGCUGCUCGCUGCCAAACCUCCCCGGCAUCCCGCAGCGUAGAUGUUCUCCGAUUUCUUUUCUGCGGGCCAAGGCGAGGUCCGGGCCACUGCGGGGAUCGCAGCCACCGUUCCAGGGGAAGCUUCGCCUCGGUUCCAGCCAGCUGGGAUACGAGCACAUCUCGGCAGCUCGGCUGAAUGCAAAACUGCAAACAGGCAAAUGCCUCCCCAGCAGAGGGGCUCGCAGCCUGUCUGGAUCGGUGGGAUUGGAGAGGGAGCUCUGGGAUCCAUCCAAGGAGCCCACUGCAUCUCCUCCUCCAUCAGACCCACCUGCUCCUCUGCGAUCUGCUCCAGCUGGGUUUGGAAAGGAAAACACACUGUUAAACCCCAAGAUAAUGUUUCUGGUUUUGUUGUUGUUGGGGGCUUUUUUUGUUUGUUUGUUUUUUUUCUGUUGUUGGUUUGGUUUUCUUCCCAGGGAACAGCCAAUUUCUGUGGUUCUGUGAAACCCAAGUAUCCUGUGGGAUGAGCCCAGCU